CCUACGGGUUGCAGCAGUGGGGAAUUUUCCGCAAUGGGCGAAAGCCUGACGGAGCAAUGCCGCGUGAGUGAAGAAGGCCUUAGGGUUGUAAAGCUCUUUCACCGGUGAAGAUAAUGACGGUAACCGGAGAAGAAGCCCCGGCUAACUUCGUGCCAGCAGCCGCGGUAAUACGAAGGGGGCUAGCGUUGUUCGGAAUUACUGGGCGUAAAGCGCGCGUAGGCGGAUAGAUAAGUCAGAGGUGAAAUCCCGGGGCUCAACCCCGGAAUUGCCUUUGAUACUGUUUAUCUUGAGUGCAGAAGAGGUAAGUGGAAUUCCGAGUGUAGAGGUGAAAUUCGUAGAUAUUCGGAGGAACACCAGUGGCGAAGGCGGCUUACUGGUCUGCAACUGACGCUGAGGCGCGAAAGCGUGGGGAGCAAACAGGAUUAGAUACCCUCGUAGUC
rnacentral:rRNA from 1 species